rnacentral:rRNA from 1 species
GACGAACGCUGGCGGCGUGCUUAACACAUGCAAGUCGAACGAUGAAGCCUAGCUUGCUGGGUGGUUUCGUGGGGAACGGGUGGGUAAGACGUGAGUAAAACGCCCCCUUCUCUGGGAUAAGCGUUGGCAACGGCGUGUAAUACAGGAUAUAUCAUUUCAUCGCCUGGUGUUUGGUGGAGAGAUUUUGCGGUUUGGGAUGGACUCGCGGCCUAUCAGCUUGAUGGUGUGGUAUUGGCUCACCAUGGCGACGACGGGUAGCCGGCCUGAGAGGGUGACCGGCCACACUGGGACUGAGACACGGCCCAGACUCCUACGGGAGGCAGCAGUGGGGAAUAUGGCACAAUGGGCGCAAGCCUGAUGCAGCAGCGCCGCGUGAGGGAUGACGGCCUUCGGGUUAUAAACCGCUUUUAGUAGAGAAGAAGCGUAAGUGACGGUACCUACAGAAAAAGCACCGGCUAACUACGUG